rnacentral:rRNA from 1 species
AAGUCGUAACAAGGUUUCCGUAGGUGAACCUGCGGAAGGAUCAUUACAGAGUUCAUGCCCUCACGGGUAGAUCUCCCACCCUUGAAUACCUUACCUUUGUUGCUUUGGCGGGCCACGUUCGCGUGUCGGCUUCGGCUGGCUGUGCCCGCCAGAGGACCCAAACUCUUUUGUUUAGUGAUGUCUGAGUACUAUAUAAUAGUUAAAACUUUCAACAACGGAUCUCUUGGUUCUGGCAUCGAUGAAGAACGCAGCGAAAUGCGAUAAGUAAUGUGAAUUGCAGAAUUCAGUGAAUCAUCGAAUCUUUGAACGCACAUUGCGCCCCUUGGUAUUCCGAGGGGCAUGCCUGUUCGAGCGUCAUUAUGACCACUCAAGCCCGGCUUGGUGUUGGGGUCCGCGGUCCCGCGGCCCUUAAAAUCAGUGGCGGCGCCAUCUGGCUCUAAGCGUAGUAAUACUCCUCGCUAUAGGGUUCCCGGUGGAUGCUUGCCAUCAACCCCCAAUCUCACGGUUGACCUCGGAUCAGGUAGGGAUACCCGCUGAACUUAAGCAUAUCAAUAAGCGGAGGAAAAGAAACCAACAGGGAUUGCCUCAGUAACGGCGAGUGAAGCGGCAACAGCUCAAAUUUGAAAUCUGGCUCCUUCGGGGCCCGAGUUGUAAUUUGUAGAAGAUGCUUUGAGCGUGGCUCCGGUCUAAGUUCCUUGGAACAGGACGUCAUAGAGGGUGAGAAUCCCGUAUGUGACUGGGCGCCUUCGUUCGUGUAAAGCUCUUUCGACGAGUCGAGUUGUUUGGGAAUGCAGCUCAAAAUGGGUGGUAAAUUUCAUCUAAAGCUGAAUAUUGGCCAGAGACCGAUAGCGCACAAGUAGAGUGAUCGAAAGAUGAAAAGCACUUUGGAAAGAGAGUUAAACAGUACGUGAAAUUGUUGAAAGGGAAGCGCUUGCAACCAGACUUGCACGCUGUUGAUCAUCCGAGGUUUUCCCCGGUGCACUCGGCAGCGUUCAGGCCAGCAUCGGUUUUGGUGGGCGGAUAAAGGCCUUGGGAAUGUAGCUCUCUUCGGGGAGUGUUAUAGCCCUCGGUGCAAUGCGCCCUACCGGGACCGAGGACCGCGCUUCGGCUAGGAUGCUGGCGUAAUGGUUGUAAGCGACCCGUCUGAAACACGGACC